AUCAGCUUUAGACGGUAGGGUAUUGGCCUACCGUGGCUAUGACGGGUAACGGGGAAUUAGGGUUCGAUUCCGGAGAGGGAGCCUGAGAAACGGCUACCACAUCUAAGGAAGGCAGCAGGCGCGCAAAUUACCCAAUCCUAAUACAGGGAGGUAGUGACAAGAAAUAACAAUACAGAGCCUUACGGUUUUGUAAUUGGAAUGAGUUAAGUAUAAACCCCUUAACAAGUAUCAAUUGGAGGGCAAGUCUGGUGCCAGCAGCCGCGGUAAUUCCAGCUCCAAUAGCGUAUAUUAAAGUUGUUGCAGUUAAAAAGCUCGUAGUUAAUUUUCUGUUAAUUUUUAUAUACAAUGCUACGGUAUUUGUAUAAUAUUAACAUAAUUCAUAUUACUUUUUAAGUAUAUGAAACUUUACUUUGAGAAAAUUAGAGUGCUUAAAGCAGGCUAUUGCCUUGAAUACUCCAGCAUGGAAUAAUAUUAAGGAUUUUUAUUCUUCUUAUUGGUUCUAGAAUAAAAAUAAUGAUUAAUAGGGACAGUUGGGGGCAUUUGUAUUUAACAGUCAGAGGUGAAAUUCUUAGAA
rnacentral:rRNA from 1 species